UACGUAGGUGGCAAGCGUUAUCCGGAAUUAUUGGGCGUAAAGCGCGCGCAGGUGGUUUCUUAAGUCUGAUGUGAAAGCCCACGGCUCAACCGUGGAGGGUCAUUGGAAACUGGGAGACUUGAGUGCAGAAGAGGAAAGUGGAAUUCCAUGUAGUAGCGGUGAAAUGCGUAGAGAUAUGGAGGAACACCAGUGGCGAAGGCGACUUUC
rnacentral:rRNA from 1 species